GAUGAACGCUGGCGGCGUGCCUAAUACAUGCAAGUCGAGCGAACAGACGAGGAGCUUGCUCCUCUGACGUUAGCGGCGGACGGGUGAGUAACACGUGGAUAACCUACCUAUAAGACUGGGAUAACUUCGGGAAACCGGAGCUAAUACCGGAUAAUAUAUUGAACCGCAUGGUUCAAUAGUGAAAGACGGUCUUGCUGUCACUUAUAGAUGGAUCCGCGCCGCAUUAGCUAGUUGGUAAGGUAACGGCUUACCAAGGCAACGAUGCGUAGCCGACCUGAGAGGGUGAUCGGCCACACUGGAACUGAGACACGGUCCAGACUCCUACGGGAGGCAGCAGUAGGGAAUCUUCCGCAAUGGGCGAAAGCCUGACGGAGCAACGCCGCGUGAGUGAUGAAGGUCUUCGGAUCGUAAAACUCUGUUAUUAGGGAAGAACAAAUGUGUAAGUAACUAUGCACGUCUUGACGGUACCUAAUCAGAAAGCCACGGCGAACUACGU
rnacentral:rRNA from 1 species